rnacentral:rRNA from 1 species
UACGGAGGGUGCAAGCGUUAUCCGGAUUUACUGGGUUUAAAGGGUGCGUAGGCGGUCCUAUAAGUAUGGUGUGAAAUCUCCCGGCUUAACUGGGAGGGUGCGCUAUAGACUGUGGGACUAGAGUGUGGGAGAGGAAAGUGGAAUUCCUGGUGUAGCGGUGAAAUGCGUAGAUAUCAGGAGGAACACCGGUGGUGUAAACGGCUUUCUGGACCAUAACUGACGCUGAGGCACGAAAGCGUGGGUAGCAAACAGG